rnacentral:rRNA from 1 species
CACGUAGGGCGCAAGCGUUGUCCGGAAUUAUUGGGCGUAAAGAGCUCGUAGGCGGUCUGUUGCGUCCGCUGUGAAAACUCGGGGCUUAACCCCGAGCCUGCAGUGGAUACGGGCAGACUAGAGGUAGGUAGGGGAGAAUGGAAUUCCCGGUGUAGCGGUGAAAUGCGCAGAUAUCGGGAGGAACACCGGUGGCGAAGGCGGCUCUCUGGACGGUGACUGACGCUGAGACGCGAAAGCGUGGGGAGCAAACAGG